rnacentral:rRNA from 1 species
GAGAGUUUGAUUCUGGCUCAGAACGAACGCUGGCGGCGCGUUUUAAGCAUGCAAGUCGGACGGUAACCGGGGUGCUUGCACCCUGGGGAGAGUGGCGAACGGGUGAGUAACACGUAGGUAAUCUACCUUUGGAUUGGGGAUAGCCUGUGGAAACACAGGGUAAUACCGAAUGAGUUUUUAUGGUAAGAAGCUGUAAAAAGAAAGGCGCGAUAGCGCUGUCUGGGGAUGAGCCUGCGGUCCAUUAGUUAGUUGGGGGGGUAACGGCCUCCCAAGGCGACGAUGGAUAGCCGGCCUGAGAGGGUGGACGGCCACACUGGGACUGAGAUACGGCCCAGACUUCUACGGGAGGCAGCAGCUAAGAAUCUUCCGCAAUGGGCGAAAGCCUGACGGAGCGACGCCGCGUGGGUGAAGAAGGCCGAAAGGUUGUAAAGCUCUUUUCUUAGAGAAGAAUAAAGGCAAGAGGGAAUGCUUGUUUGAUGACGAUACCUAAGGAAUAAGCCCCGGCUAAUUACGUGCCAGCAGCCGCGGUAACACGUAAGGGGCGAGCGUUGUUCGGAAUUAUUGGGCGUAAAGGGCGCGCAGGCGGCGUUGCAAGCCUGGUGUGAAAUGCGGCGGCUUAACCGCUGGCAUGCGCUGGGAACUGCAGGGCUAGAGUUCUAGAGGGGGAGCUGGAAUUCCUGGUGUAGGGGUGAAAUCUGUAGAGAUCAGGAAGAACACCGGUGGCGAAGGCGAGCUUCUGGCUAGAGACUGACGCUGAGGCGCGAAAGCGUGGGGAGCGAACAGGAUUAGAUACCCUGGUAGUCCACGCUGUAAACGAUGUGCACUAGGUGUUGGAGUGAAGAGAAUACUUCGGUGCCGCAGCUAACGCGAUAAGUGCACCGCCCGGGGAGUAUGCUCGCAAGGGUGAAACUCAAGGGAAUUGACGGGGGCCCGCACAAGCGGUGGAGCAUGUGGUUUAAUUCGAUGAUACGCGAGGAACCUUACCAGGGCUUGACAUAUGCAGGGAGGCACAAGAGGUUGUGCUGCCUGAUUUUCAGGUCUGCAUACAGGUGCUGCAUGGCUGUCGUCAGCUCGUGCUGUGAAGUGUUGGGUUAAGUCCCGCAACGAGCGCAACCCCUGCUGUCUGUUGCCAGCACGUUAAGGUGGGGACUCAGACGGUACUGCCGGUGACAAACCGGAGGAAGGUGGGGACGACGUCAAGUCAUCAUGGCCCUUAUGUCCUGGGCUACACACGUGCUACAAUGGUAAGUACAGAGUGAAGCGAAACCGCGAGGUGGAGCAAAUCACAGAAAGCUUAUCUCAGUACGGAUUGGAGUCUGAAACCCGACUUCAUGAAGUUGGAAUCGCUAGUAAUCGCGCAUCAGCAUGGCGCGGUGAAUACGUUCCCGGGCCUUGUACACACCGCCCGUCACACCACCCGAGUUGGGGGUACCCGAAGUCGUUUGUCUAACUGUUACAGGGGGACGGUGCCGAAGGUAUGCCUGGCAAGGAGGGUGAAGUCGUAAC